rnacentral:rRNA from 1 species
AUUAAUGAGGGCGUGUGGGCUAACAUCCCCACGAA